UUACGUCCCCGGGCCCGCGCCCGCCGAAGACACCCUCGAACUCUGUCUGAAGAUUGUAGUCUGAGUGAAAAUAUAAAUUAUUUAAAACUUUCAACAACGGAUCUCUUGGUUCCGGCAUCGAUGAAGAACGCAGCGAAAUGCGAUACGUAAUGUGAAUUGCAAAUUCAGUGAAUCAUCGAGUCUUUGAACGCACAUUGCGCCCCCUGGUAUUCCGGGGGGCAUGCCUGUCCGAGCGUCAUUUCUGCCCUCAAGCACGGCUUGUGUGUUGGGCCCCGUCCUCCGAUUCCGGGGGACGGGCCCGAAAGGCAGCGGCGGCACCGAGUCCGGUCCUCGAGCGUAUGGGGCUUUGUCACCCGCUCUGUAGGCCCGGCCGGCGCUUGCCGAUCAACCCAAAUUUUUAUCCAGGUUGACCUCGGAUCAGGUAGGGAUACCCGCUGAACUUAAGCAUAUCAAUAAGCGGAGGAAAAGAAACCAACAGGGAUUGCCCCAGUAACGGCGAGUGAAGCGGCAAGAGCUCAAAUUUGAAAGCUGGCUCCUUCGGGGUCCGCAUUGUAAUUUGCAGAGGAUGCUUCGGGAGCGGUCCCCAUCUAAGUGCCCUGGAACGGGACGUCAUAGAGGGUGAGAAUCCCGUAUGGGAUGGGGUGUCCGCGCCCGUGUGAAGCUCCUUCGACGAGUCGAGUUGUUUGGGAAUGCAGCUCUAAAUGGGUGGUAAAUUUCAUCUAAAGCUAAAUAUUGGCCGGAGACCGAUAGCGCACAAGUAGAGUGAUCGAAAGAUGAAAAGCACUUUGAAAAGAGAGUUAAAAAGCACGUGAAAUUGUUGAAAGGGAAGCGCUUGCGACCAGACUCGCUCGCGGGGUUCAGCCGGCAUUCGUGCCGGUGUAUUUCCCCGCGGGCGGGCCAGCGUCGGUUUGGGCGGUCGGUCAAAGGCCCUCGGAAGGUAACGCCCCUAGGGGCGUCUUAUAGCCGAGGGUGCAAUGCGACCUGCCUAGACCGAGGAACGCGCUUCGGCUCGGACGCUGGCAUAAUGGUCGUAAGCGACCCGUCUUGAAACACGGACCAAGGAGUCUAACAUCUACGCGAGUGUUCGGGUGUCAAACCCGUGCGCGAAGUGAAAGCGAACGGAGGUGGGAACCCUUACGGGUGCACCAUCGACCGAUCCUGAAGUCUUCGGAUGGAUUUGAGUAAGAGCGUAGCUGUUGGGACCCGAAAGAUGGUGAACUAUGCCUGAAUAGGGCGAAGCCAGAGGAAACUCUGGUGGAGGCUCGUAGCGGUUCUGACG
rnacentral:sRNA from 1 species